GCGAGACGUCUGCGUCAAAGUCCCGAGGUGCGUCCUUCAGCGGCUGAACUUGUCCAGGAGGUUGGGAGACGCCAAAUACCUCCCCGAAAUAGUAUUAACAGAGCGAUCAAAUGAAUGGACGGCAGUGGCUGAUGCAAUAUGCCGGUGGAAGCACCACACAUGCCCGACGGCCUUGGAGAAUGACCAGGCCAUUGGAAAAAGACCAAAAGAGACCAAAAAAGAAAACCUGCCUCUAAACCCCAGAUAAUCCCUCGACAUGACUUCUCUUUUCUUGACCCGUAAUGAACGUACAAGAAACAGUGAGUACAGUGAGCGCACACCGUGCAGGGCUGCUGUCCACGAGUCUACAAGUCUCAGGUGAAAACAUAGUUUCAGGAAAAUGAAAAUGAUAUCGACCAAAAAACGUGAUAUCUGUGGAUCAUCAUCAACAAAAAAAGCUUUAUUUUUUUAGUUGUUCAGUGUAAAAUCGAAAACUGACGUUAAUAAGCACAAUCUGACAGACAGGUGCUUUAUUGUUUAUGUGAAAACCAAUUCGCCUCUUAUCAA